rnacentral:lncRNA from 1 species
AUACGAUUGGAAUACAUCGUCCAAAUCUUCCUGUCUUAUCCACUCAAAUAGUUGUAUGAAAUUGAGGGGAAAAGUAGAUAACAGGUCGGAAAAAAAAAGCUCAAUCGGCUGCACCACCACCUCUGAUCAACAUAGUCUCGAUCGCUGCCAUCUACUUAAUUUCAUAGGGUAAAUUUAGUAAAUUUAUAGAUGUGAAGCAUUUGGGAAGAUACAUAAUCACAAAUUAGGCUCGAAAUGGGUUGGAAAAUGGGUUAGUAGUUGAGUUGUGUACUAAAUGGUGAACUUGCAGGAAAAUAAUAGUAAGAAUGUGAGGAGGAUUGCCAUCUUGCCGCCAUUAGCUUGCUUUUGUUGUUCUUUCUGUUGCUCCUCCUCCCAAGUCCUGAAAUGUUUUAUGAGAUCUUGAUUAUAAUUAACGGCUAAUCUAUAGCUUAAGUAUUUAUAAUUAUGAACUACUGGCCAGAUUCAUUGGUCCAAUGCCGGCAGAAUUAGGGUAAUAAUAAUGCUGAUAAAUGCAUGUACUGAAUACUGAUGAUUUUAUCGUAUAUUCAUUCAAAGUAUUGGAUGCCACGGUUGGGCGCCAACAAAUUAGAAGACCAAACUGCUUAUAUAGUAGCAAAAAAGACGCUUACAUAUCUUUCGAAUCAUGUAAAGGCAAACCUCACCAUAUAAAUAUAUAUGCUCAGGAUUCUUUUAUUUUGCCUCCUCUUGUGGGGAGAUACUUAACAUCAAUACUCUCCAUAUCAAUCCCGUUAUUACUUGCUAUAUAUCGCGACCAAGAAAAAUUAGCAACAUCAGCUGCCGGCCAUAACUGGAAAGAGGCACUAUAACUUUUUUCAUAACACAGCAAAAAAAGAACUAUCAAGUAUAAACAUGUAACUGAACGUAACUUGAAACCGCGCCGUGUAAAUAGUAAAUACACGACACAACAGUUUAUGUUUCUGCAACAAGUUUAGUUCCAAACUGUAUGGGUAUGGCUGAAACUAUAGACUGAAAUAUCGAAAUUUUCAUGCAUGCUGCAAUUUCUGUUGAGGGUGUGGUGAGGUGUUGUCGUAGGAACUACACGGCUAAACCUGUACAGUUUUGUCAUAUUUUCAUAUCGGAAACCCACACCCACCCACCUGCAUCAACCAUGUCCAAAUGAUUCGUUCAAGUCCAGCGGUUGGACCAACCCAAAUCCGAGUCGGUUUGAUUAAGCUAGCCCAGAUCACAAAAGGGUUGCGAUGGACCGUUUAGAAGCAAAUAGCAGUAGAAAUCUUAUUCAAAUCUAUGAACCAAUAAAUACCUCUUUCAUGCCUUAACAGUGAGGGGAAAAGAACUUCCCUUUAAUGUAGUUUCAACAAAGAUUUAUCCCGGGGAAAAACAAAAGCAAAGAUAGUGGAUUGUUAUCUUCAGCACAGUGAAGGAACAACAACAGCACACAACAAUACCAUAAGUGGUUUCGUUACGAUUAAAAAGACAAGAACACAUUUAUGCCAAAGGUACGUAGUUGCCCUUAACUCAUGAUGUUUUCUCCACACCACAAAUCAAGCACUUCUCUUCACCAUCUUAAUUUCUUGAUGCACAGCACUACUGCAGCAUCAGCAGCAGCUUCAAUCCUGGAGACGGAGGUGAAAGAUGAAGAGUGAUGACCCUCCAGGGGCUUUGAAGGGUGAGAGAGGGAAAAAUAGGUGACAAUGGGUUGUGUGUUUUUGUAGGGUUAGGGAAAAGGGAGGAACUGAGGAAGUGGAAGUGGGUAUGGAGUCCAUGGAAUAGAGGAUCUUCUCAGCAUAUCCCUUCUCUGAUCACUUUUUAGUGAAAGUCUCUGUUUGCUUUUUGAUGGUUUUAUAAAUUUCCCCUGUUUCUCUGUGGAAUCGAAUUGGAAUCUACCUUAAGAUAUUCCAUUUUAGUUAAGUUAGUAGGUCACUGACUGACUGACUGGUGGGGUGUUGUAUAUUUGACACAUUUCCCAACUACUUCUUGCUACUGCACUCUGUUCCUG